rnacentral:rRNA from 1 species
GUGCCAGCCGCCGCGGUAAUACAGAGGUCCCAAGCGUUGUUCGGAUUCACUGGGCGUAAAGGGUGCGUAGGCGGUCGGGUAAGUUUGAUGUGAAAUCUCUGGGCUUAACCCAGAAAUGGCAUUGAAUACUAUUCGGCUAGAGAGUCGGAGGGGGGACUGGAAUACUUGGUGUAGCAGUGAAAUGCGUAGAUAUCAAGUGGAACACCAGUGGCGAAGGCGAGUCCCUGGACGAUUUCUGACGCUGAGGCACGAAAGCUAGGGGAGCAAACAGGAUUAGAUACCCCCGUAGUCC